ensembl:snoRNA
AUCCUUUUGUAGCUCAUGAGCAUGACCAUUGGGUGUUCAAGCCAUUGUGUGACUUAUGUCUCCCUGAAAUCUUAUUACGACCUUGGCACAUUACCUGUCUGACG